rnacentral:rRNA from 1 species
CGAGGACGACGCUGGCGGCGUGCUUAACACAUGCAAGUCGAACGGAAAGGCCCUGCUUUUGUGGGGUGCUCGAGUGGCGAACGGGUGAGUAACACGUGAGUAACCUGCCCUUGACUUUGGGAUAACUUCAGGAAACUGGGGCUAAUACCGGAUAGGAGCUCCUGCUGCAUGGUGGGGGUUGGAAAGUUUCGGCGGUUGGGGAUGGACUCGCGGCUUAUCAGCUUGUUGGUGGGGUAGUGGCUUACCAAGGCUUUGACGGGUAGCCGGCCUGAGAGGGUGACCGGCCACAUUGGGACUGAGAUACGGCCCAGACUCCUACGGGAGGCAGCAGUGGGGAAUAUUGCACAAUGGGCGGAAGCCUGAUGCAGCAACGCCGCGUGCGGGAUGACGGCCUUCGGGUUGUAAACCGCUUUCGCCUGUGACGAAGCGUGAGUGACGGUAAUGGGUAAAGAAGCACCGGCUAACUACGUG